rnacentral:rRNA from 1 species
UACGUAGGGGGCUAGCGUUGUCCGGAAUCAUUGGGCGUAAAGCGCGUGUAGGCGGUCCGGUAAGUCCGCUGUGAAAGUCGGGGGCUCAACCCUCGGAUGCCGGUGGAUACUGUCGGGCUUGAGUACGGAAGGGGCGAGUGGAAUUCCUGGUGUAGCGGUGAAAUGCGCAGAUAUCAGGAGGAACACCUAUGGCGAAGGCAGCUCGCUGGGACGGUACUGACGCUGAGGCGCGAAAGCGUGGGGAGCGAACAGG